CCUACGGGUGGCAGCAGUGGGGAAUAUUGCACAAUGGGGGAAACCCUGAUGCAGCGACGCCGCGUGAGUGAAGAAGUAUUUCGGUAUGUAAAGCUCUAUCAGCAGGGAAGAAAAUGCCGGUACCUGAUUAAGAAGCCCCGUCUCAAUACGUGGCAGCAGCCGCGGGAAUACGUAGGGGGCAAGCGUUAUUCGGAUUUACUGGGUGUAAAGCGAGCGUAGACGGGAGCACAAGUCUGGAGUGAACUGCCGGGGCUUAACCCCGGGACUGCUGUGGAAACUGUGCAGCUAGAGUGCAGGAGAGGUAAGUGGAAUUCCUAGUGUAGCGGUGAAAUGCGUAGAUAUUAGGAGGAACACCAGUGGCGAAGGCGGCUUACUGGAUUGUAACUGACGUUGAGGCUCGAAAGCGUGGGGAGCAAACAGGAUUAGAUACCCUAGUAGUC
rnacentral:rRNA from 1 species